UACCUAGCGGCGGACGGGUGAGUAAUGCUUAGGAAUCUGCCUAUUAGUGGGGGACAACAUUCCGAAAGGAAUGCUAAUACCGCAUACGUCCUACGGGAGAAAGCAGGGGACCUUCGGGCCUUGCGCUAAUAGAUGAGCCUAAGUCGGAUUAGCUAGUUGGUGGGGUAAAGGCCUACCAAGGCGACGAUCUGUAGCGGGUCUGAGAGGAUGAUCCGCCACACUGGGACUGAGACACGGCCCAGACUCCUACGGGAGGCAGCAGUGGGGAAUAUUGGACAAUGGGGGGAACCCUGAUCCAGCCAUGCCGCGUGUGUGAAGAAGGCCUUUUGGUUGUAAAGCACUUUAAGCGAGGAGGAGGCUACUAGUAUUAAUACUACUGGAUAGUGGACGUUACUCGCAGAAUAAGCACCGGCUAACUCUGUGCCAGCAGCCGCGGUAAUACAGAGGGUGCGAGCGUUAAUCGGAUUUACUGGGCGUAAAGCGUGCGUAGGCGGCUGAUUAAGUCGGAUGUGAAAUCCCUGAGCUUAACUUAGGAAUUGCAUUCGAUACUGGUCAGCUAGAGUAUGGGAGAGGAUGGUAGAAUUCCAGGUGUAGCGGUGAAAUGCGUAGAGAUCUGGAGGAAUACCGAUGGCGAAGGCAGCCAUCUGGCCUAAUACUGACGCUGAGGUACGAAAGCAUGGGGAGCAAACAGGAUUAGAUACCCUGGUAGUCCAUGCCGUANACGAUGUCUACUAGCCGUUGGGGCCUUUGAGGCUUUAGUGGCGCAGCUAACGCGAUAAGUAGACCGCCUGGGGAGUACGGUCGCA
rnacentral:rRNA from 1 species